GCACAUUUACACACACAUACAUUCACUUACACAUCUAUAUGCAUAUACAUACGUUGUGUGCAUGCAUGCAUGUGUGUGUGUGUGUGUGUGUGUGUGUGUAAAAUAAUUUUUCUGUUUAGUUUGCUGUUGCUGUCCAACACUAAAUAUUUACCUCCAAAAGAGUAAAGCAUCUAUUUAAUUAUCAUUGUCGUUCUGGAGUAAGUAAUCAUGAGUGUUGACUGCCUCUGUGAUUAUUUUGAUGGUGUAACCUCUGAGGUUGUUUAGCUGGGUGUGGUCUUCCCUGGUAUUAUUUCAAUAGGUUUUAGCUACUUGACUUUAUUUCUGUGAGUGUGGGCUGCUCCUGGGGUUAUUUUAAACUAUUAGAGUUACUUUGUCAUAAUCAACUCUUUUCAUUUGCACUUUACACAGACAUACAACAGAGAUAAAUAAGACAACAAACAAAAGGGGGGGUUUUUUGUCUCUUAAUUUUUUAGAAUUAAAAGCAUUUUCAGUAUUUUACAUUUAUAUGCUUGAAGCUGCUUGAUCUUCUGUUGUCAUCUGGUGUCUCAUUCCUGAGUGUGUUCAUCAUACAGAUUCAAAAUAACCAUUUCUGAACUUGUUCAAACCUGGUUUGCUACUAAGACAACCAUUGACAAUCAGAGAUCAAACCAAUCAAAACAUAGUGUAGAUGCAAAUAUUCCUAAGUAUUUUCUUAAGAAAUUGAAGUUAAUUUGUUUGAAAAAUUAAAAUAGCAUUAAUCCAUCUCAAACAUUUAAAUAUUUUAGAGAAAAAGAAGUUAUGAAUAUGUUAAUCUCUUUAAUACCAACACACCUGAAGCUGUCCUUUGUUCUCUGAAACAGAUUUGUUGUUGUAAAGUAAUCUAAAUUAAAGCCUUCCCUCAAAAUUUCAUGUUAGCACAUAUUCCAAAUGCCAGCUUCAUAAUGACUGUUAUUGUUAGAAAUAACUCUUCAUUAUUUUUCAAAAUUAAUUGCAACAAAGGCAAUAUAUUUCAACAUUGAUGUGGUGGCAAAAGGAUUAAAUUUGAAAUUAACCAUUCAGAAUGAUGUUGACAUCGUAGACUCCCAGCAGUAGCAAGGGUGAGUUGACUUAGUACAUAGUCUGCAACAUCUCAGGCAUCAACCAGUAGUAUUCUGUGGGUUAUUAUCGACAAAUGUAUUGCUCCCUAUCUUAUCAAAAGCAAGUACCAGAAUACUACUGGAAAUCUAAGCAGUUAACAAUAUGGCCUCCUACUUUGUCAAAUAGCACUAAUAAUCACGUUUCUAUAUAGGUAUGUAUGUAUAUUUGUAUGUAAAUAAUAGGUGUAUAAGUAAAAUGUAUGUAAAAUGUUCUUGCAUUUUUACAUUUUUUUUUUCAUGCUAGAACAGAUUACAGAAAUACAUAUUAUUGAGGUGUUGUUUACUGCCAGAUACCCUUCCUGUCAUUAACCCUUACCUAUUUUUCAAGUAAGGGAUUCUUUUUAAUUCCCUAUGUCUUUGAAAGUGCAGAGCUAGCAGACAAUAUGCUAACAGGGAAUGACAACAAAUUUCACCAUUUUUUCAUGCGUGCACACACACACACAUAAACAUUUGUACAUAGAGUUUCCAUCUAGCAAAUUCAGUCACAAGGUAUUGGUUAGCUGAGGCUACAAAAGAAAACACAGUUUAACUGAAUCCAAAAGUACAUGGUUGAGCAGUAAAACUUCUUAACCACACAGCCAUGCCUGUGCCUAUGUGAAUAUACGUAUGUGUGUGUGUGUGUGUGUGUAAUAUUUAUACACACAUACAUAUAUAUAUAUAAAUAUAUCUGCAAUGUAUUUACAUACUUAUGUUUGUAUGUAUGUAUGUGUGUGUGAGGGAGGGUGAGCAUGAAAAAUGCUCUCUUCCACAUUUCGACUUUUCGAUUUUUAGGUUAAGCAACCUUUGUUCUGGUGAUGUUGAUAUGGGAGGUCAGUGUUUGAAUGUAUUUGGGGGUGAGGAUAGUAAAAGAAGAAAACAACAGUGAAGGGACUUGUUGAAACAUCACUGGUAUCAUAAGCUACUCGUAAACAUAAGUAUGUGUAUACAUACUUACAUACAAGCACAUAUAUAUAUAUGCAUACAUAUAUACAUACAUACCAGUACACACACAAUAGUUAUAAUGAUAAUCUGUAGUAUACUAGUUAACUACUAUAUUACUAGAAUAUUACUUGCUAUGUUAUAGUGUAGUAGAGCUAUACAGAUGGCUGUGUAUACAGAGUAGCAUCUUAUCUCUGGCCAUGUGCUUCAUCCAUGGUUGAAAAUGGCUCAGUCAACAUAGCUGCAUGCGGUUAUAUAUGCUGAAUGGUUCUUCAUUGUAAGUAGCUGUAGCACUGUAAAAGUCCAACUAAUGCAGUGCUUGGUGUAAACCCUUUGUGGGUUUAGAUGUAGCAACACGGUAUCAUCCCUAUUUAUGUUGCAAUGACAUUAGUAGUGAGGCCAGUAUGUGGUAGUUAACUGCUCCCCCUGUUAACACUGAUCAAGCAUGCUUAAUACUGAGGACAUUCCAGCUAUGACCUUCCUGUCAUUUUAGAGGUAUAUGUUGGACUUUAUUAUCUAAUGUGUCCUUUCUGAAGACAGUAGGUUGUGACUUGAGAUAGAUAUGGUUGCUAUUUCUAGCAGAUGAAGUGACCACCUAGAGGUAAGGUUGGACCAAAUAAGGGUGUGUGUUACAGUGUCUUUUUUUUUUAUACAGUCUCUAUUAGUGUACAUACUAUAUAGUAUAGUUGACUACUACUGGGGUAGUAUAGUAAGAUGCAAUGUGGUUAAUUAUAACCAACUGAUAAAUGUGUUCAUAACUCAAGUCAUUUAUUAAAAGCAGGUGUGAAUAUGUGUUUAGUAUAACAGUAAAUGUGUUUAGCAUAAUAUCAGAAGUAGUUAGUUUAACAUACAUGUUUUGUAAAACAGAAAAUGUAUUUAUGAAACCUUCAAACAUGUUUAGUAUAACACUGAACAUAUUUAGUAUGAUACCAAGUUGUUUGAAGAUGGCUUGAUCUUUGUAACUAUAUGUAGGUAACACACUACUAAAGGGUUCAUUAUUGUAAGUAGUGACAGCACUGUACCCAGUGUUUUGUUACCAUGCAAUGUUUAGAGUAUUUUCAGAUGUGUUUAGUCUAGUAGCAGAUAUAUUUAGUAUAAAAGAAAACAUGUUUACUAUAAAACUUAAUGUAAUUUUUAUAUGAAUCUCUUAGAUUAGAAAUUACUGUGCAUUGUAUAACCAAAAUGAGAGCACUAGUCCAAAUAAUCAGUGUAUAAUAGAUAAGCUUUGUAUGGCACAACUAUGUUUAAUAUGUUCAAUUAGUGUUUAUUAUAGCACCAAACACGUUUAGGGUAAUACAGACCUUUUGUAUAACACUGAAAGCAUAACACUAACAUGUUUAGGAUAAUACCAAACACAUUUGUGAUAAGAGUCAAUAUAACAUGAAAUGGGUUUGGUGAUGAUGAUGGUUGAUAAAGUACAUUAGCAAUAGCAUUAUAUUACGGUUAUAGGCAAUAAAGUAACUUUGUUAUUGGUCAUUACAAUGUAUUGUUCAUUUUCCAUUCUGUGUCUUGUUGCAUUUGGAUGACAUGGGAAGAGAGUUAAUAGUAAUGUCAUAUGGAUGUUUCUUGAAAUCAUGAUAUGGUGAUGGUUUUAGAAAACAACCAGAAAGAAACUAUAAUUCUUUACUUAUAAUUUAAACCAUAUAAUUAUUAACCCCAGGUCAGCCCUCAUUGAGCAUGCUGAAAGGUAUUCCAGUCAACAACCAUCCCAAAUUUUAUUGUGUCUGAGAGUAGAGUGUUCGGUGUAUCUUUUAUUUAACCCUUUAGUAUUUAAACUAGCCAUAUCCAGCCCAAAUAUUCCACCAGUUUUAUGUUCAACCAGACCAGAUCCAGCCUCUCACACCUACCCUACAAUGUGAUUCUAAAAUAAUAAUCACAUCAAUGAAAUCUUAAAGCUAUGAAACAAUGCAUGAUGGGUUAAAAUCAAUGUGAAUAAAGGAAUAUUACACUUGACAGAGGAAUCUGAAUGCUAAAGGGUUAAGAUGGUAUGAUAUGAUAUGAGGGUGAUUUGGCUGCUAUGUCACAGAUCAAGCAAGUUUAUAGAAGCUUCUUUGUUGGUAAGCAAUAUAGUGUUACCCUCAUCAUCUAGUGAAGUGUGUUUGGAUUUGAAUUUUAUGUGAAUCACUGAAAUCUUUCAUUGGCUAAUGAUGUCUCUAGUCAUUGGAUCUAUACAUAUUAGCAUUAAUGCACUUCAGGAACUUUAUGAUGUUGGCCAUUGACCUCACAGAGGUUCUUUUCCUCAGUAUCAUGUGUGCAUAUCACCAUUGGUCAGUGACUACACAUACACCAUGCUACUUCCCUUGAUUUCAUUUGUAACCCUAGGCUGGGGGUGGGGAUUGUCAGGGGCUAUGCUUUGCCAAAAGACAUUCUGUAUUUGGUUCAGAACAGCUUAUUUCCAUAUUUACCCUUAUAUCUAGAGGCCAUUUCCUCACCUACCACUUGGAGACUUACAUGGUAAGCGUUAUCUCUCCCAAUCCUAUACCAGUAGUAUUAAGCUCCCAGUAAUUUCUGACUGUGGCUGUUCCACUUCAGUUCAUUUAAUCAGUAAUACUCCUAACCCACUUUAAGAAGGACCCUUACAAAAUCUCAUUUGCCUUCCUCUUCAUGUAGUAGUUACCCUCAUCUCUUUAUUCCUAUUUACUUAACAACCCCUGGAGGAGAGAAUGUCUUCACAAAUGAUUCUUACGUUUUCCAUAAUUUUAUGUUUGCUGUUUUCUUUCCCAUCAUUUUUGUUUUGCUUCAUUAAUUUGCUUCUGUUUGUUUCAACUAGUGGGUUUCCUGCUCACAAGCCUUCACUCUGAGACAACCUCCUAUUUUUUCAGUUUCUCAAAGGUUAUGGUGACUAACCCUACAAAAAAAAAGACAAACAAAAGACCUUCAUUCUUUUUGUUCACUUACUGAAUAAAAUAACAAAACUGUUGAUCCUGUAGUGUAUUUAUUACAUACUUUACCGAUGACCCUUCAUGACUCUAAACAAUGACUUUCAACUGUUGACCUUUCAUGACCUUCAACAGGUGCAUACUUUAAAAACAAUUGACAACCCUUUCACUCCUCUCUAAUCUCAGCUAAUCUUUAUAAAAUUCUGAAAGUGUCACCAACACUAUACUCCCUUUAAUAAAUAUUAUUCAAUAAUUUUAAUGUGUCAAAAUGCUAAAACAAUGUGCAAACUUGCCCAGUGACAAUAAACAAAAAAACAAUCAUGUUUCUGCUAAAUUCUUGAGUCCAUGUACACCUGGAAUUAAUGAGGUCAUUCAGGUGUGUAUCUCAUGGCACCAUCCAAUUUUUGUAACCAUGAAGAUGCUGUGCACUUAAAGUGUUACAUUUGUCUAAUUAUAUCCUUGACUCUUUAAGAACCAUGCAACUGUUUCUAACAAAUAUACCUUUCUUUUUGUUUUUGUGCAGUGUGAUUCCAUUUGUGCACAGGUGUGCUUCACGUUCCAGGAAACAUUGGUGAUGAGCCCCAUUCCCUCCAAUAAAUGCUCAGUGACCCUUCUUUGAAAUGUGCUCUUCAUUCUCUCACUCACCCUUCUGAUAUUUUAGCCACUUCACCAUCCCCCCUAUCACAUGACUCUCUAUGGCAGGUUACACAGCCUUGACCUGAUAUAGAUCCUGGAAUAUUCUAAAAUAAAGUUAAACUUGGUCCAGACAUCAGAAUAUUCUUCAAAUAAAAUGACAGAGAUUAAAUGAAAACUCACUUUCUUCCUCUCCCUUCUCUCUCUCUUUCUCUAUCAUCCUCUCUCAGUUUCUCUCUUUAACUUUUGUUGUCACUACCUCUACAUCUCUUUCUUCUACCCCCUUCAAAACUCUGUGUGUUGUGUAUGUUUGUAAUGUAUAUGCAUGUAUGUGUAUAUGUGCUUGUGAGUGUGUAUGUGUGUGUGCCUGCAUGCCUUAGAAUUUAUUCAUUUCUGUUUAUUUUUUUUUUAUUAUUAGUAAACAGAAAAUAUUUAUUAAACCUUUCUUUUCUUAAACAUUGACAAUUUUCUAGUGUCAACAGAUACACCUCUUUAUCUAAAUUCUCUCUCUCUCUUUUAAUCUAUUUAUUUAUCUAUCUGUAUAUGUAUAUUUACUUAUCUAUAAAUCUAUUUAUCCUUUCAUUUAUUCAACUAUAUAGCUCCCUACCUACCUAUCUAUUUAUAUAUCAGUCUGUCUACCUAAUUAUCUACUUACCAACAUAUCUGUAUGCCUUUCAUAGCCAUCUAUCUGUCUACUUAACUACUUACCUACCUCCUAGAAUCUAUCUGUUUUGCUCUCUAUCUGUCUAUCUAUCUAUCUAUCUAUGCAUCUAUCAGUCUAUCUAUUCUACUAUCAUCCUACCUAUCUCUCUAAAAAUCGAUCAGUCUAUAUAUCUUCCUUUUUUUUCUUUCUUACCUGUUAUUUCUCUAUCAGACUUCUGUCAACCCAAUCCCAGCUACCCUCAUCGCCCUCUCCUCUCCAUUUAUUUACCUCAAUUCACAAAUCACACCUGUCCUCUCCACUCCUGUCCUGUUGACCUCUUCCACAUUUGGUACAUACUCCGAACCAUGGAACAUUUCUUGAGAUGCAGUUAUUGUAUUUUUUUUUGUUUAUAUACAUAUAUAUAUAUAUAUAUAUAUAUAAACAUAUAUAUUUAUACAUACACACACACACACACACACAUAUAUAUACACACAUACAUAUAUGUAUGUAAUAUAUAUAUAUAUACAUACAUACAAAGAACUCAUUUCUUGCUGAUCCAAUGCAUGUGUGGAAGCAAGUCAAGAACCUUGGUCUAACCGGCUGGUUAACAACAGAAUCUGGGCUAAACAUUAUACAUUGAAGUAAAUGGUGUUAACUUGUUGUUCAUAGACUCAUGGCUUGCGUUCACCGUUCACCGUGAAGAAGUUUUUUUUUUGUUUGUUUUUCUGUAGUCAAAUAAUGAAAUGACUGGCAAUAAAAAUACAUUUGUCUUUUAGUGUAUGACAUCUUUCCAUUCACUCCAUAUUCAUGUUCAUUCAUCAACAUCAACAAUGGCUGAUUGUAUUACCAAUUCUGUUUUAUUCUGGCUUCUGUCACCCAAGCCAGGAUACAUUGAAAUCAUAGGAUGCAGCAUGGUGGAUGUGAAGUAUUUUGGCAGAUGAACUUACUGAAUCAACAGUAAAUAUCACAAAUGCUGAGUGGAUGAACAAACAACUUUUAAUGACCAGUUCGAUAUGGUGUCUCUAGGAUCACAUUAUUCAGUCAAAAGAUGAUAGACUGUGAUUUGAGGAGUAUUUGGCUACUAUUUCUAACUGGUUGAACAACCAUUUAGAGACUAAUUUCAAUAACUGUUUGUCAGUUUGAGACCACUAAAGAUGUACUAAGAGUACCUAUCAUCCUUAGUGUUUGUAUCACACUGAAUUGUAGUAGAUAAACCUGUUGAUACAAGCUUAAAUAGAGGCAAUAAAUUUAUUCCAUUUUACAGUUCAUUUGAUA